rnacentral:rRNA from 1 species
CACGUAGGCGGAUCAGAAAGUCAGAGGUGAAAUCCCAGGGCUCAACCUUGGAACUGCCUUUGAAACUCCUGAUCUUGAGGUCGAGAGAGGUGAGUGGAAUUCCGAGUGUAGAGGUGAAAUUCGUAGAUAUUCGGAGGAACACCAGUGGCGAAGGCGGCUCACUGGCUCGAUACUGACGCUGAGGCGCGAAAGCGUGGGAGCAAACA